AGAUUCAGAUUACCAUGCAAACAAUCUAAUUUACUCACCACUGCCUCGUCAAAUAUUUGAAACAAAGAUGGACAUGUUUUAAGGCAUUCAGUUGUCUCACAUUGUUCCCACAAACCAUGAAUAAAUUGCGAGUAAUAAAUCAAAUGGUAAACAUAAUCGUCACAAGUAGGUAUUUGAAAAGAUUCACAUGGUUCACAGAGUUGCAUAAUCAUACCAUGCAUUAAUCGACGGUCUAUAGAUUCACUCACACAUGCAUUAUCAAAAACAAGAAUUUUUUUAUCAACCAUCAAAACAGAUAGAUCAUCAAUAAAUAAAAUAGGAC
rnacentral:lncRNA from 1 species